UACGGAGGGGGCGAGCGUUAUUCGGAAUUAUUGGGCGUAAAGGGCGCGUAGGCGGCCGGAUAAGUCAAAGGUGAAAUCCCUCGGCUCAACUGAGGAACUGCCUUUGAAACUGUUUGGCUCGAGUCCGGUAGGGGACCACGGAAUUCCUGGUGUAGCGGUGAAAUGCGCAGAUAUCAGGAGGAACACCGGUGGCGAAGGCGGUGGUCUGGGCCGGCACUGACGCUGAGGAGCGAAAGCGUGGGGAGCAAACAGG
rnacentral:rRNA from 1 species